UGGAGAUUUGCUCGUUCUGCACAGGCGUGUGAUGAGGAUCCUGCUCUGCAUCUGGAGUUCCUGGCCAAUUACAUCGCUGAGCUAUCCCUGCUGGAGUAUAGUCUUCUGUCUUACCCUCCAUCACUAAUCGCUGCCUCAGCUAUUUUCUUGGCGAGAUUUGUACUCCAGCCAACGAAGUAUCCUUGGAACUCCACGCUUGCUCACUACACGCAUUACAAGCCGUCCGAGUUGAGCGAGUGUGUAAAGACACUGCACCGCCUUUCCAGCGUUG